GUUCUCAUGUCAUCAUUGUUUUCGACCUCCAUAUCUUCUUCCCAUUCUAAUUUGAUUUGUAGGAUGAUAGAAAUUAGAAAAAUACUACAUUAUGUUGGGAGGGAAUAUAUUUGAAAGUUGUUGAACGUACCUUGACUGAAAAUCAUGUUAUCUUCUUCGCCGGUGUCAUCUUCAAAUAUGACUCCUUCACCUGCGUAGAAAAGUGUGAAUGUAUAUGUUGGUUACUUUUUGUAUUUCUU
rnacentral:lncRNA from 1 species